rnacentral:snoRNA from 1 species
UGGAAUGAUGAAAUGCACUGGGCUCCGAGCAGUGAAAAUCGCUGCGUUUUGAUGGAAAUGCGUUGCCUAGAAAGCAUUGUCUGAUAC